CCUACGGGUGGCAGCAGUGAGGAAUAUUGGUCAAUGGACGAGAGUCUGAACCAGCCAAGUAGCGUGAAGGAUGACUGCCCUAUGGGUUGUAAACUUCUUUUAUCAAGGAAUAAAACGAGGCACGUGUGCCUUUUUGCAUGUACUUUAUGAAUAAGGAUCGGCUAACUCCGUGCCAGCAGCCGCGGUAAUACGGAGGAUCCGAGCGUUAUCCGGAUUUAUUGGGUUUAAAGGGAGCGUAGAUGGGUUGUUAAGUCAGUUGUGAAAGUUUGCGGCUCAACCGUAAAAUUGCAAUUGAUACUGGCAGUCGUGAGUACAGUUGAGGUAGGCGGAAUUCGUGGUGUAGCGGUGAAAUGCUUAGAUAUCACGAAGAACCCCGAUUGCGAAGGCAGCUUACUAAACUGUGACUGACAUUGAUGCUCGAAAGUGUGGGUAUCAAACAGGAUUAGAUACCCCUGUAGUC
rnacentral:rRNA from 1 species